rnacentral:rRNA from 1 species
GGCGUGCCUAAUACAUGCAAGUCGAACGCACUCUCGUUUAGAUUGAAGGAGCUUGCUCCUGAUUGAUAAACAUUUGAGUGAGUGGCGGACGGGUGAGUAACACGUGGGUAACCUGCCCUAAAGUGGGGGAUAACAUUUGGAAACAGAUGCUAAUACCGCAUAAAACCUAACACCGCAUGGUGUAGGGUUGAAAGAUGGUUUCGGCUAUCACUUUAGGAUGGACCCGCGGUGCAUUAGUUAGUUGGUGAGGUAAAGGCUCACCAAGACCGUGAUGCAUAGCCGACCUGAGAGGGUAAUCGGCCACACUGGGACUGAGACACGGCCCAGACUCCUACGGGAGGCAGCAGUAGGGAAUCUUCCACAAUGGACGAAAGUCUGAUGGAGCAACGCCGCGUGAGUGAAGAAGGUUUUCGGAUCGUAGAACUCUGUUGUUGGAGAAGAACGUAUCUGAUAGUAACUGAUCAGGUAGUGACGGUAUCCAACCAGAAAGCCACGGCUAACUACGUG